ensembl:lincRNA
GUCAGUUCAGGUUUGCAGCAAUAGAGUUUAAAAUAAGUUUUACCUUUGAUUUUUCUCUUGGAAACUGGCUUCUUCUCUUUCCUAAUCUCUGAACAUCUACAAUUUUUCAAUUUUGCUUUUGAGGCAUGGGUUUGCUUUACAGUUUCUUUGCUUGUGAGUGAAGGAUCACACACAUGCUCAAUCUCAGUUCCGAUGAAUUAAAAAAACAGGACUAAAAGUGGCUGCAACAUCAUAUGCUAAGGGAUGGAAUGUAAUAAUUGUAAUUACUGCUCACAAGACAAAGUAUGUGUAUGUUGAAAGCUAUGAAAAUGAGAAGCAGAUGCUUUGCAUCGUACUGGAAAAUGCUCAGUAAAUAUAAACAAACAACAAACACACCAGAGAUGAAAAAUAGCCCCGGUCUUUGGGGUGGUGUAGCAAAUGCUUUUCGACUCCUUCAUAUAUACAAUUGUUCAUUCUGAAAAAUAAAUGAAUCCAUUUCCUUUUAACUCAUUCUUUCCAAUGGAAAAUGUAAUCAAAGCUAAGUGUAUUUAUUUAUGCACAAUUUUAUACCUCAUUGACAGCUUCAAAAUGAAUUUUCCAACAUUCGGAAGAAAAACUCUCCAAUGCAUGUCAAGGAAUUUAAAGUCCCUUCCUACGGAUGUGUAUCAUGCACUGACACUGACACUGUGUCGAAGACAAACGUUUAUACUCCUUCACUGGCUCCUCCCCAGUUUAGUGUUCAGGCGACACUUCUCAAACAAACAAGAAACAACAAAUCUGGAUGUAAUAAGAAGACACUUAUGUUCAAAAGGAUUAAGACAAAGAGUAUGACAGAAGUAUGCAUUACAAGAGGAAGGUUAUAAUGGGGAGAAGGGGACUAUUGCAAUGGAGUGAAUGUUGUGAUAAUUUGGUCUGCAAGAGCUAGGUAGAAAAGCUUUACUCUUAUAGAGAGGAGUGCAAAGGUUGGAAGAGUUAGAUGUGUCCGUGGGUUGAAAUGGUGUCUUGAUAAGACAGUGGAUCAGAGAAUGUUUUACCUUAAAUCCAAUCUGUUCUCAGGAAACUGUAGGAGGAGAGAAGUUUGAAAGCAAUUUGUCCAAUUGACAACUGAGGGACAGCAGUUUACUCAUUUAUGAGUAGGGAAAGGGAAUUUGAGAAGUCUGUGUCUGACUUUGUUCUAGUAAACAAGUGGGCAGGCAUGUACAAGUCCUAUACGGAAGGAUGAUUCUUUGUUGUAGGCCCUUUUCAAGAUCACAGUAUGGUGAUUCCUUGAAGCUCCCAUUUUCCAGGAUUAUAGUGUCUGAGACUAGUACUUAAUUAUAGUAUUUGAGACUGCUGUCUCAAUUCUGGGGCAGGCUUUUCCCUGCUAAGUACUCACUCCAUCCCAGAAAGGUAUGGGAGUUACUACAAGUCCUGACUUCUGCUUCACAUGGCUCAUUUGAUUUCAAGUUUGCAUCAUUCUGGUUGGCCAGUGGGAGAGGAAGAAGGGAGAUCAGUGGGAAGGGCUUGCUUAUUGGCCCACUCGCUGUGUACCAAUGUAGUGGAGCCACCCCCGUCCAGACCACUGCAAGCUAACUGUGUAACCUGUGUGAACGUAUGCCCUCUCUGCUGCAUAUACUCUGAUAAAGGAAAUUCAAUUAAUGGGCUAAAUAUAUUGAGAAAAUUCAUAAUCUUGACAUCCUGAAUACUAAGUUUCUAAACAACUGAAAUUUUGACAUCCCUCCAUCAGGUUAAUGCAAGAGGAUGACUCAGCCAAAGUCAAAUAGCACUAUUCCUGUAAUGAUCUGGUGGUGGGCAAAAAGAGAGGAUGUGAUAGUUGGAAGCAAAUCAUCACUGGGAAGUGGAGUAGCAAUUUUUUUUUCCUGAAUGCAUUUAAAAAAUAAAGGUGUGUAUAAUGAAAGGCCAGUGGCCUGGGAGACAAGAGAGGCCAGCUCAAAUACAAAUAUACUGUUUCUGAUGAAGAAAACACUUUUCAUUCAUAUAAAGUAUUUAUUAGGUAUUGGAUUUUAUAAACAGUUUGGUCCUGGAGUCUUUAUUUUAAAAAGGUUAUUCUGAAUGCAUUACCAAGUGUCCUGUGGAAUAUUUCACAUAAAAGGAAGCAGAAAAUGUAUAAAUGUAAACAGGCUAAUUGUAUGCAGAUAUAAAUUAUGGAUGUUGGUCUUAUGAAAAAGCAUUGCUGAUUUGCAGGGGUCUUACUCAGCAGCUCUGUGUCUUGUCUGAGGGGGAUAUUUAGUAUGGCUGUGAUGUGCAGAAUUUAAAACAAAACUUUGAAUUCUGGAAAUAAAAUAUAGCCCAAUUGUGCUAAGACCAUACUGUUGGGAGAAUGAGGUUUUUAUCACAUUUUAUUGCUGUUGGCAUCAGCACUCAUUAGCUCUGUUAUCCCUGCAUGCUCUGGUCUCCAGGUGCUGUGUAAAGACAAAGGUUUGGUAAGAGCCGUUGAUAUUCUGUGGUUCUUCUCAACAGUCAGUGCAGGUGACACUGUCCACACCAGUCCACACAGUAUUCCUUAUGCAAGUUAAGGAGAGACAUCUGGAGUCUCAGGUGACCAAGAUCACCAGAGCUUUCUUCCUUCCAUAAAAACAAACAAGAAUAUGACGCUUGUAAAGGAUACCUUAAGACAAAGUAGUCAAGGUGAAAGGUUCAGGAGGAAAGGGCUGUGAAAUGGUUAUCCCUUGUGUUUGGGAUGCAGCAUGCCAACGUCAAUUUAUUUUAUCAAGUUUAACCUUGAGUUAAAGAAACUACCCAUCCCAUGGCACAACACUGAGGAAAUCUGGAAAAUGAGCAGUUUUAUAAAGUGUAAAAUAAUUGGUCUAAUAUUUUAUGAUAUGUGACACAAAAUAGUAUAGAGAUUUAUGUGGACAGCAUAAAUCUUUAGCAGAUAUAUGAUGUAAAUGCUUCAUGCUUCAUAAUAAAUAAUUGACUCUAACAGGCUGACUUCCAGUUCCAUGCAUCAUCCAC